GUUUGGGCGUUUUCAGGCGGCCUCCUGAGAAAUGUUUGCAAUUGUAAGGCGUCUCUCUCAUCCAGGUUUACCCAGAUUCGCAAACUAUGGCGACAAACAACCAUAGCAGAAGCAUGUCCGGAUUAUUUCACAUAUAUCACAAAAUCCUGCAAAGGGUCUGUCCCCAUUGGAUCACCUCCCAUCACGCCACACACGACGUGAAUGACUUCGUGCUUCUCCAUACCUGCAUUGAUCUCUGGGUCCAUUGCCAGUUAUAAACCUCCAAGGGCAAUAGCCAUGAGGUAACGAGGAGACCAAAGGCCUAGUUAUUUAUGGAGAUCUGGGGCCACAGCAGAGCUCCUCAUGGCAGGAUAAGGCAGUGGAAAGCAGACUCAACGGUUAACCCACAGUCCUCCUCAGCAAGCUGGGAGAAGCAACUGAUGCCACUUAGAUGCUUAGACCGGGCCUUCUGGGAGAGAUCUGGCCCAAGGAGCAGCCGGCAGCUUGACACAGUGACCAAUUGGAAGCACAGCAGCCACACGCCAUGAAACAAGGUGAUCAUCUUCACUCAUUUCCUGAGGCCAGAGCCUUCCUUACGCAGGACAUGGAUACCCCAGUCCCAGCUGUGCUGAAGCGUCAGGAAGCCUCCCCCGACCCCACCCUGAACAACAGUGAGGGGGGUUAGGUGUCCUCAAAAGAUCUACUCUGUCAACUGGAGUUGUUGAGAAACUCAGGAAAGGGAACUAAAAAGGAUAAGAAAGUGGUGCAUUCCAGUGUCUUCCUGUUCUCUGUUGCAGAGAGCCAGCUGGUGGACCGCAGAGACAGACUUCCAGCCAGGGCCAAGCCCUUCAGGAAGGGAGUCAUGCACCAAACUCAGCUAACAGACCACCAGGGCACCACUGGGUCUCCUGCUGGGGAACAGCACACCUAUGGGUGGGCUCUAGGGGUGGGGUGGCCUGGUUGCUGGUUCUGCUCUGCCACUUCUUAGCUGGACUUGAGCAAUUUGUAACAUUUCUUGGCUCAGUUUCUCCACCUGCACAAUCAAAAUAUCACUACCUUCCUCCAAGA
rnacentral:lncRNA from 1 species